GGCUCGGUGGUGGAUGGUCCACACCUGCUCUCCGUGACGGGAAUCGCCGGAAAUUUCGCAGGAGACGCCCGUUCGACUCGGGCCCGGGCCA